rnacentral:rRNA from 1 species
UACGUAGGGCGCAAGCGUUGUCCGGAAUUAUUGGGCGUAAAGAGCUCGUAGGCGGCUUGUCACGUCGGGUGUGAAAGCCCGGGGCUUAACCCCGGGUCUGCAUUCGAUACGGGCUAGCUAGAGUGUGGUAGGGGAGAUCGGAAUUCCUGGUGUAGCGGUGAAAUGCGCAGAUAUCAGGAGGAACACCGGUGGCGAAGGCGGUGGUCUGGGCCGGAACUGACGCUGAGGAGCGAAAGCGUGGGGAGCGAACAGG